UCUUACUGUUCCAUAUGCAGAGACAAUGGAAAGACCAAAAAAAAAAAAACUUCUGCAGUAAUGGAGCCAAAAGACUGAAUUUGCCAGCCAUACCACCAUUUGCACCAUCAGCACCUGCUGUGACAGUCCCUGAACCAAGACAAGAUGAAAGAGAACUCCGGCUCUACCAGAUGCUGGAAGAGCUAAAGGGUCAAGUCAGGCAGAAUACGCUCCUCCUUCAGGCCAUUAUGCGAAGAGAGAAUGCAGCUGAAGUUGUAAAUGAGGAGUUUCAGUUUCCAUUAAGGAGCAUGACAGGCAUAAAAGAUCUGGAGGAUAGGCUGUCAAACAGAGACACACAACGUUCUUUAACAAGAUAUCUUACCAGCUUGGGUGGAACAUCUGCCAAAGACAUUGUCCACAGAAUCAUGAGGGAAAUAAUAACCAAUGAGUUGGCCAACAAUUUUAAUUGGCAAGGGAGAGGACAGAAGAGCCCAUUUUCUACACUCUUGCUAGCAAAAGUUGUUA